CUACGUGCCAGCAGCCGCGGUAAUACGGAAGGUCCGGGCGUUAUCCGGAUUUAUUGGGUUUAAAGGGAGCGUAGGCUGGAGAUUAAGUGUGUUGUGAAAUGUAGACGCUCAACGUCUGACUUGCAGCGCAUACUGGUUUCCUUGAGUACGCACAACGUUGGCGGAAUUCGUCGUGUAGCGGUGAAAUGCUUAGAUAUGACGAAGAACUCCGAUUGCGAAGGCAGCUGACGGGAGCGCAACUGACGCUGAAGCUCGAAGGUGCGGGUAUCGAACAGGAUUAGAUACCCUGGUAGUCCGCACAGUAAACGAUGGAUGCCCGCUGUUGGUACCUGGUAUCAGCGGCUAAGCGAAAGCAUUAAGCAUCCCACCUGGGGAGUACGCCGGCAACGGUGAAACUCAAAGGAAUUGACGGGGGCCCGCACAAGCGGAGGAACAUGUGGUUUAAUUCGAUGAUACGCGAGGAACCUUACCCGGGAUUGAA
rnacentral:rRNA from 1 species